AAUAUUUGUCGCCGUUGACUUUUUUUAAAAUGUUUGACCGUUCGUCUUAUUCAAAAAUUUUAAGUAAUUAUUAAUUCUUUUUCUAUCAUUUGAUUCAUUGUUAAAUAUACUUUUAUGUAUACAUAUAGUUUUACACAUUUCACAAAAAUUUUUAAAUAAGACGAAUGGUCAAACAUGUUUAAAAAAGUCAACGGCGUCAAACAUU
rnacentral:pre_miRNA from 1 species